UCAUUGCAGCAUAGAGUGAGCGCCUGUUCACUGUCCCAGCCCCUGCCACAUUGUGGGCCCAUGAGGACAGCCUCCGGGCCCCAAGGAUCGUUCUCGGUUGUGAUGAACACCUAGCAGAGGACCUGGUUCAUGGUGAAAGCUGAAGGGACCUAGCUCAUCCAGUUCUCCCGAAUCCCAUGAGGAUUGCUCAACACGGAAUCUCGGCCAGCUGAAGGAGGAUUCUGGACACAGAGGAUAAGACAGAUGGAGUCUCAGCUCUCAUGAAGAUUGCACACCAGUUGGGGAGACAGGCAACAAUCAAGGAAACAAAUAUGCAAACAAGAAAGAUCACUCUGGCUGCUGUGUAGGCGAUAUGUUGCUGGGAGGCCACGGGUCGAAGUAAGGAGUCCGGUGAGAAGGAGGUUGCAAUUGUCCAUGAGAGAGGUGCUGAGGCCUGGCCCGUGAUGGUGGUGGUGGCCAUUGACUCUGAAGCCUUUCUUCUGUGCGCUUAUGGGAAUGACAAAUGUCCCAUGCCCAGAGGGACUCUAUAAUUAAUUCUGUCAUCCAUUGCUCACCAUAGCUACCACUAUGGGUAUUUUCCAAAACAAAGAAGGGUGAAUGAGUAUUUCUCUCUAUUAAGCAAUCUGUAAGUCUCAUUUCUUUUAUAGUUUAGCAUCAUUGCUUU